AAUAUUUUUAUAUUCUUGUUACUGAAAUAUUCUUUGAAGACCCUAGUUUUUUGUUUUAUUUAUGUGGGGAGGAUACUUAGGAAGCUGUUUGCUAAAUUAAGUAAGUGUUCUGCUUACCGUCAGAAUUGUGAAUAAAUCAGAUCUCAAUUUUUUAAAAUUCCCUCGAAUGGAAAAUUUCAGAGGUACAAAAUGUGAAUUUAUUAUAAAAAAGUAGAUUUUAUACCAUCUGCACAUCUCUAAAUAAAGAAAAUAAAAUGUAGGCCACAAGACCUAGGAACUAAAUGACAAGGCUUGG
rnacentral:lncRNA from 1 species